rnacentral:tRNA from 1 species
GGGGCGUAGCUCAGUUGGAUAGAGCAACGGUUUUCUAAACCGUAGGUCACAGGUUCGAGCCCUGUCGCC